UCACGAUUAUCAAUAGAUAUCAGUGUUUGC
rnacentral:piRNA from 1 species